GCUUGGAUAAAUUGGUUUAUGUAAAGUACAACAGAGCGUUGCUACGCCGAUACACCUUUGGGGAUAUCACCACGCCAAUUGAUUUGGCAAAUAUUGAUGAAAGUAAUGAGUGGUUGCUUAGUGAAUUAGAAAAGAGAGAUGGGGAUGAUGACGAUGAUACCCUUGUUUUUAUGGAUGAUGUGCUGACCUUGGGUGAUGUUGGUAGAGCAGCUGG
rnacentral:misc_RNA from 1 species